CCUACGGGGGGCUGCAGUGGGGAAUAUUGGACAAUGGGGGGAACCCUGAUCCAGCCAUGCCGCGUGUGUGAAGAAGGCCCUCGGGUUGUAAAGCACUUUCAGUGAGGAAGAACGCCUGGUGGUUAAUACCCAUCAGGAAAGACAUCACUCACAGAAGAAGCACCGGCUAACUCCGUGCCAGCAGCCGCGGUAAUACGGAGGGUGCGAGCGUUAAUCGGAAUUACUGGGCGUAAAGCGCGCGUAGGUGGCUUGAUAAGCCGGUUGUGAAAGCCCCGGGCUCAACCGGGGAACGGCAUCCGGAACUGUCAAGCUAGAGGGCAGGAGAGGAAGGUAGAAUUCCCGGUGUAGAGGUGAAAUGCGUAGAGAUCGGGAGGAAUACCAGUGGCGAAGGCGGCCUUCUGGACUGACACUGACACUGAGGUGCGAAAGCGUGGGUAGCAAACAGGAUUAGAUACCCGUGUAGUC
rnacentral:rRNA from 1 species